rnacentral:lncRNA from 1 species
AGUCUAAUAAGGAUGCCCUCCUCUCUUCAUGUCUCCUUGUCUCAUUUACUUCAUCUGUUAUAGAUGUGAAAGAGGAGGACUGGUGAAAACAAAUACAACAAAUAACAGGUGUUGCUACAGUUUCUGCAUUCACCAUCAUGCUUUCACCUAUAUGCUCUCACACCAGUUCAGAUGGAGAGGAGACGAGGUUAGAUAGAUGGAUGAAGGAGAGGAGACGAGGUUAGAUAGAUGGAUGAAGGAGAGGAGACGAGGUCGGAUAGAUGGAUUAAGGAGAGGAGACGAGGUCAGAUAGAUGGAUUAAGGAGAGGAGACGAGGUCGGAUAGAUGGAUUAAGGAGAGGAGACGAGGUCAGAUAGAUGGAUGAAGGAGAGGAGACGAGGUCAGAUAGAUGGAUGAAGGAGAGGAGACGAGGUCAGAUAGAUGGAUGAAGGAGAGGAGACGAGGUCAGAUAGAUGGAAGAAGGAGAGGAGACGAGGUCCGAUAGAUGGAUUAAGGAGAGGAGACGAGAAGAGGUCAGAUAGAUGGAAGAAGAAGAGGAGACGAGGUCAGAUAGAUGGAUUAAGAAGAGGAGAUGAUGCCAGGAGAGUAAACCACACUACCACACUAUGCUUGCCCACGUGCAUCCCUGCUAAGACCAGGCCAAAGGGCAGAGAGAGAGAGAGAGA